rnacentral:rRNA from 1 species
GACGGUAUGGUAUUGGCAUACCGUGGCAGUGACGGUUAACGGGGGAUUAGGGUUCGAUUCCGGAGAGGGAGCCUGAGAAACGGCUACCACAUCUAAGGAAGGCAGCAGGCGCGCAAAUUACCCAAUUCUAACAGCAUAAGAGAGGUAGUGACAAGAAAUAACAGUACAAGGCAGUUAAAAUGCUUUGUAAUUGGAAUGAUAGAAAUUUAAAUACUUUUUAAAGUAUCAAUUGGAGGGCAAGUCUGGUGCCAGCAGCCGCGGUAAUUCCAGCUCCAAUAGCGUAUAUUAAAAUUGUUGCAGUUAAAAAGCUCGUAGUUGAAUUUUUGCUAAAAAUAACCGGUCUGCUUUUAUUAAUAAAAGUGGUAUCUUGGUGUGUUUUUAGCAAUAAUGUCCUUUAAAAUGUUUUUUACUUUAUUGUAAAAAACAAUUAUGAGGAUUUUUACUUUGAGAAAAUUAGAGUGUUUCAAGCAAGCUAACGUUUUGAAUACUGCAGCAUGGAAUAAUAAAAUAGGAUUUUAGUUCUACGUUAUUGGUUUUAAGAACUAAAUUAAUGAUUAAUAGGGGCAGUUGGGGGCAUUUGUAUUUAACUGUCAGAGGUG